GAUGAACGCUGGCGGCGUGCCUAAUACAUGCAAGUCGAGCGAACAGACGAGGAGCUUGUUCCUCUGACGUUAGCGGCGGACGUGUGAGUAACACGUGUAUAAUCUACCUAUAAGACUGGGAUAACUUCGGGAAACCGGAGCUAAUACCGUAUAAUAUAUUGAACCGCAUGGUUCAAUAGAGAAAGACGGUUUUGCUGCUACUGAUAGUUGGAUCCGGGCCGAAUUAGCUGGUUGGUAAGGUAACGGCUUACCAAGGGAACGAUGCGUAGCCGACCGGAGGGGUUGAUCGGCAACACUGGAACUGGGACACGGUCCAGACUCCUAGGGGAGGCAGCGGUAGGGAAUCUUCCGAAAGGGGCGAAAGCCUGACGGGGCAACGCGGCGUGAGUGAGGAAGGUUUUCGGAUCGUAAAACUCUGUUAUUCGGGAGGAACAAAUGUGUAAGUAAAUAUGCACGUCUUGACGGUACCUUAUCAGAAAGCCACGGCUAACUACGUG
rnacentral:rRNA from 1 species